rnacentral:tRNA from 1 species
GGGGGCUUAGUUAAAUGGCAUAAUUGAUGGCUCCAAACCAUCAGUUGGGGGUUCGAUUCCCUCAGCCCCCGCCA